UACAGAGGGUGCGAGCGUUGUCCGGAAUCACUGGGCGUAAAGGGCGCGUAGGCGGCGCGGUAAGCGUGCGGUGAAAGCCCGGGGCUCAACCCCGGGUCGGCCGUGCGGACUGCCGGGCUGGAGCACUGUAGAGGCAGGUGGAAUUCCGGGUGUAGCGGUGGAAUGCGUAGAGAUCGGGAAGAACAUCGGUGGCGAAGGCGGCCAGCUGGGCCAUUGCUGACGCUGAGGCGCGACAGCGUGGGGAGCAAACAGG
rnacentral:rRNA from 1 species